UACGGAGGGUGCGAGCGUUGUCCGGAAUCACUGGGCGUAAAGGGCGCGUAGGCGGCAGGCCAAGCGUGCGGUGAAAGUCCGGGGCUCAACCCCGGAUCUGCCGUGCGGACUGGUUUGCUAGAGCACUGUAGAGGCGAGUGGAAUUCCGGGUGUAGCGGUGGAAUGCGUAGAGAUCCGGAAGAACACCGGUGGCGAAAGCGGCUCGCUGGGCAGUGGCUGACGCUGAGGCGCGACAGCGUGGGGAGCAAACAGG
rnacentral:rRNA from 1 species